rnacentral:misc_RNA from 1 species
UCCGGUUUGUCACCGGCAGUUCUCUGUGAGUCCCCGGCAUAAUCCGCUGGCAACACAGGACAAGGGUUGCGCUCGUUGCGGGACUUAACCCAACAUCUCACGACACGAGCUGACGACAGCCAUGCAGCACCUCGACUCCACCCCCUUGCGGGGUACCGGCAUUUCUGCCGGCGUUGAGAAGCCGUUCGAGCCUAGGUAAGGUUCUUCGCGUUGCGUCGAAUUGAACCACAUGCUCCACCGCUUGUGCGGGCCCCCGUCAAUUCCUUUGAGUUUCAGCCUUGCGGCCGUACUCCCCAGGCGGGGUACUUCAUGCGUUAGCGACGGCACCCAGGGGGUCGCUCCCCCAGACGCCUAGUACCCAUCGUUUACGGCGUGGACUAC